AUUGAACGCUGGCGGCAUGCCUUACACAUGCAAGUCGAACGGCAGCACGGGAGCAAUCCUGGUGGCGAGUGGCGAACGGGUGAGUAAUGUAUCGGAACGUGCCCAGUCGUGGGGGAUAACGUAGCGAAAGCUACGCUAAUACCGCAUACGAUCCAUGGAUGAAAGCGGGGGAUCGCAAGACCUAGCGCGAUUGGAUCGUGCGGUAUCAGAUUAGGUAGUUGGGGGGGUCAAGGCCCACCAAGCCCGCGAUCUGUAGCUGGUCUGAGAGGACGACCAGCCACACUGGAACUGGGACACGGUCCAGACUCCUACGGGAGGCAGCAGUGGGGAAUUUUGGACAAUGGGCGCAAGCCUGAUCCAGCAAUGCCGCGUGCAGGAUGAAGGCCUUCGGGUUGUAAACUGCUUUUGUACGGAACGAAACGGCUUUUUCUAAUACAGAGAGCUAAUGACGGUACCGUAAGAAUAAGCACCGGCUAACUACGUGCCAGCCGCCGCAGUAAGAC
rnacentral:rRNA from 1 species